AUGAUUGAGUGGGUCUGGGGUUGGGUUGAGUGAAAGCAGGUCUAAUUGAGUUUGACCCUUAUGAUCAAGAAAAAUUGGGGUGGUUCCUCCAUCCUAGAUUAUAUGUUGGUGCGUAGGGGUCAUUUAUGGGUCUUUGAUAGUGAUAGGGUCAAGAUGUUGUCGUUAGGACACCAUGAUUAUCAAUCAAAUUUUGACUUCAAUAAAAAUUAAAAAUAUAUAGAAAGUAGUGAGUCG
rnacentral:lncRNA from 1 species